AAGUCGUAACAAGGUUUCCGUAGGUGAACCUGCGGAAGGAUCAUUAACACGUAUCCAAACGUUAAAACCCCCCCCGUGAACCUUCAUCCUGCUCUUGUAACCCGCGUAGUUCGCAAUCUCUGAUAAAUCAUAGCCCGGAAAGGUGCGAACAUUGGAACAGUUACAAUCGAGCGGUAGUUCUAUAGGCAAUGUUUCCCCAAGCAGUCGGCAGGAGCUUUGCCAAAGGGUCCCCAUGCCCCCUAAUAACCCCACAGUUUAAUGUGAAGCUCAAUGUAAUACAUUGGGUAAAAAAACCGAACAACUGUUAACAAUGGAUAUCUUGGUUCUC
rnacentral:misc_RNA from 1 species